rnacentral:rRNA from 1 species
GCCCUUAGAGUUUGAUCCUGGCUCAGGACGAACGCUGGCGGCGUGCUUAACACAUGCAAGUCGAACGAUGAUGCCCAGCUUGCUGGGUGGAUUAGUGGCGAACGGGUGAGUAACACGUGAGUAACCUGCCCCUGACUCUGGGAUAAGCGUUGGAAACGACGUCUAAUACUGGAUAUGAUCACUGGCCGCAUGGUCUGGUGGUGGAAAGAUUUUUUGGUUGGGGAUGGACUCGCGGCCUAUCAGCUUGUUGGUGAGGUAAUGGCUCACCAAGGCGACGACGGGUAGCCGGCCUGAGAGGGUGACCGGCCACACUGGGACUGAGACACGGCCCAGACCCUACGGGAGGCAGCAGUGGGGAAUAUUGCACAAUGGGCGAAAGCCUGAUGCAGCAACGCCGCGUGAGGGAUGACGGCUUCGGGUUGUAAACCUCUUUUAGUAGGGAAGAAGCGAAAGUGACGGUACCUGCAGAAAAAGCACCGGCUAACUACGUGCCAGCAGCCGCGGUAAUACGUAGGGUGCAAGCGUUGUCCGGAAUUAUUGGGCGUAAAGAGCUCGUAGGCGGUUUGUCGCGUCUGCUGUGAAAUCCCGAGGCUCAACCUCGGGCUUGCAGUGGGUACGGGCAGACUAGAGUGCGGUAGGGGAGAUUGGAAUUCCUGGUGUAGCGGUGGAAUGCGCAGAUAUCAGGAGGAACACCGAUGGCGAAGGCAGAUCUCUGGGCCGUAACUGACGCUGAGGA